ACCAACCCAUGAGGAGGUCUUCAAAGAAACCCAGACACUUAAAAGUGACAAGUCUAAAUGGGUGGACAAGCGCUCUCAAGACACUCAUGAGAAGUUUAUAAAAAAGUUGGCAGAAGUUCAGGCUCAACAUGCCGAGGUUCAAGCACAGGGAAUGGAGCUACAACCAAUUGAUGAAGACUUGAUUUGGGAGGAAGUGUGUGGUGGGCAAAAGAAGAAUCGAGUUUACGAAAAAGAGUCAUUCUUUUCUAGCUCUAUCAAGUCUGGAACCACUUCUGCCAAUUCUGUAUCUGGAAGAGCACCAAGAA